rnacentral:rRNA from 1 species
UAGGGAAUCUUCCGCAAUGGACGCAAGUCUGACGGAGCAAUGCCGCGUGAGUGAAGAAGGAUUUCGGUUCGUAAAACUCUGUUGUUAGAGAAGAACAGCGCAUAGAGUAACUGUUAUGCGUGUGACGGUAUCUAACCAGAAAGCCACGGCUAACUACGUGCCAGCAGCCGCGGUAAUACGUAGGUGGCAAGCGUUGUCCGGAUUUAUUGGGCGUAAAGCGAGCGCAGGCGGUCAAUUAAGUCUGAUGUGAAAGCCCCCGGCUCAACCGGGGAGGGUCAUUGGAAACUGGUUGACUUGAGUGCAGAAGAGGAGAGUGGAAUUCCAUGUGUAGCGGUGAAAUGCGUAGAUAUAUGGAGGAACACCAGUGGCGAAGGCGACUCUCUGGUCUGUAACUGACGCUGAGGCUCGAAAGCGUGGGUAGCAAACAGG